rnacentral:telomerase_RNA from 1 species
UUUUGCGGGGUGUUUUAUCUAACCCUAAAUACGGGUAGCUUGCUGUACUUCGUGUUUUCUGGUUUUCCUCUGGCUUUCAGCAAACUACAGUAGGUUUUUGAAGGAAAGUGGGAAACCAAAAAAGCCAAGAGAAUCACUCCGCCAUGUUCAGUUUCUCGGCAGAAAUACCGUGAAUAACCUGCCGUAGUCAGCCUGGCUGCUGCGAAGAGUUUGUCUCUGUUGCUCCGGUGUUUUCAUGCCUGAGAUACUCGACAACUGAAUAGAUUAAAACUGAGCAGGACGAUUCUGCUGGAUCCCCCAGUGGUCCGGUUAGGGCGCCCAAGCUCAGACACCC